UGGGGAAUAUUGGACAAUGGGCGGAAGCCUGAUCCAGCAACGCCGCGUGAGGGAUGACGGCCUUCGGGUUGUAAACCUCUUUCAUCUCUGACGAAGCGCCCUUUGAGGGUGGUGACGGUAGGGGGAGAAGAAGCACCGGCCAACUACGUGCCAGCAGCCGCGGUAAUACGUAGGGUGCGAGCGUUGUCCGGAAUUAUUGGGCGUAAAGGGCUCGUAGGCGGUUUGUCGCGUCGGGAGUGAAAUCACCGGGCUUAACUUGGUGUCUGCUUUCGAUACGGGCUGACUAGAGGCAUGCAGGGGAGAACGGAAUUCCUGGUGUAGCGGUGAAAUGCGCAGAUAUCAGGAGGAACACCGGUGGCGAAGGCGGUUCUCUGGGCAUGUCCUGACGCUGAGGAGCGAAAGUGUGGGGAGCGAACAG
rnacentral:rRNA from 1 species